UCCGUUUUGACUCUGACAGUUUUUAAAGGUGAGGCUCAUUUUUUGUGAGGUUAAGAAGAAGGAGAGAGUAAAAGGUACCGUAUCUUUCUUCUUAAUUGUUUGGCUUAAGUCUGAAACAUCUGAAAAAACACCCUUAAAAUGAUCUUAGAAGUAACAGUCGCUUAAUUAAUAAAAAAUAGUAACAGAUUUAGCUUACCCUCUUUAUGGACUUAACUUCAGGAAAUUAGGCAUCCACUGUCUCCUCUGCAAUAAUCAGUUUCUUAUCUAACAGAUAUGAAACGACCAAAAUACCUCUUACAUCAUUUGCAUCCUUUAACUCAGGAACAAUUGCUCCAAACAAAAAAAUAAAAUAAAAUAAAAUUGAAGCACUGCUACAGCUCAGAGCAUCUUUUUCUUUAAACCCUUUAAAGUCCCCCGUUUAUUCCCAUCCCAGCUCAGCUUAAUUCCAUUUUAUUGUGUCGUUGGGCUGGAAAUAUACAGUGCCAUGCCUAAUUGUGCUGCUAUUCCACAUUAAUAACCUGGAACUUUGCAUCCCAAGCAGCGAGGAGCACGGAGAAAAGGCAGAAACAGAUGCAAUUAUUUGUUGCUGGCUAAGUUACUGUACGUGACCCAGGUGCUGGAGGACUAUUUGCAUGUGUUUCUCACCUUUGUUCACCCAGACACAUGGGGAUCUGGAGCUAUUGCUGACUAAUUGAUAGUUGUAGUAACUGCUAUAGGCUCCUUAGAUUAGAAAUGCAUGCAGACGUGUGUCUUGAUUCAAACAUUAAGGAACACACACACUCUCACUUACUUACACGGGCAGAAAGUCUUCGUACUAUUAGAGGUGUGUGAUGGAGAUAGCAGGACAUAAAACAGAAGAGAGAGAGACACAGGGAGAGAGAGAGAGACAGAGACAGAGAGAUGGCAUGCAGCAUAUAUACCCCUACAAAUAGUUCUAAAAUGCGUUUGCAAAUGCAGAAGUCUUCAGAACCAUCCACCAGUUCAGCACAACCCUUUUUAUCUCUUCUCCGCGGGACGUCUCCAUCCAGAUUACUCGAAAAAAGCGGAAAAGGAGUAACUUCAGUGGGAUUUGUUCAUACAAAAGAGAAAAGAUCACCUGGAUUCUUCUGGAGCUGGGAGUCAGGGCCAGAAAUCUCCAGGAAAGACCUGCCCAAGGACCAAGAAGAGGAUCUCACCUCUCCAGAGCUCCAUCCCACCUGGAGCUCCAGCCCGGUGCUGGUGGCAGACUGA
rnacentral:lncRNA from 1 species